rnacentral:rRNA from 1 species
AUGUCCUUGGAAACCCUCCAUAAGAGUAGAGGAGGCAAGUUCAAGAGAACUGAUAAGAAGGACGUGGCUGCAAUAUUUGGAGCACAUGUUCGAGUUAUUCAAAGAAUAUGGGAGACAGCAAUGAAACAGAAAGGCCUUGGUCAGGAGGUGGAUGUUUCAAACAAAAGAAAGGAAAAUUGUGGAAGAAAAUCUUAUGAUGAUAUCCUAUCUCUCAUUCCGACAAUUCCCUUAAACAAGAGGUCAACUAUUCGAUCUCUAGCCAAGGCACUAGGUGUAAGCCCUACUACACUAUACAAGAAGUUC